UUGCGUGCGAUUCGGCGACCACAGGAUCGCCUUAAGCCUUCGCCGUCUCGUUCUCGAUCAUCGUUUCGCGUACUAUCUGAAAAAGAAGAAGAAGAUGUUUUCCUCUCGGUUUCCUCUGUUUUCUUGGCAUCCAAACACCGGAUGACAAGAAACAGCCCCCGAAUUUUACCGAUUUAUGACCUCGAUCGGGUUCUGCGAUGAAAUCCUAGCAGUCGAUUCCGUCUCGGUACGAUGAAGAGAGAACGGGCAGAGAAUUGAUUUGCAUCUGCACUCCCAUAUCGAGAUUGCUUCGCAAUUGAUUUCUAAUGGCGUUCCGAUACCGCCAUUGCUCCCAAGUUGUCCUCCUUUUUUCUUUUUCGGUGGAAAACUGAACUAUUUGUUUAGCGGGAAAGCUGAAGCUGGAGACUCCUAGUGGCUUAUAGAAAAGAAGAAAAAAGAUUGCUUACUAUAAAGAGCUUUCAUGAAAACAAUAUCUCGGAGCAAUUACUUAAAUGAGAGCUAGAUAGGGCUUCUUUCCAUUCACACUUGAAAGUAAACAUAUCAGAGCAAACACAGACAUCUAGGCUGACUGCAGAUGAGAUGGUUAU